GGGCUGCUCUAAGCCUCGAUCCCAGGCCACCCAGGCCGCACUUGCACUUCACUCAGGGAUCCCUGAGGGAAGUGGCAGCUCUGCAGAUCUGGUACAGUACAGGUGUUGGAUUCAAGGACGGAUGUACACACAGUGCAGUGUGGAGGCCGAGUGAAAUUCAGAAGGAUGAAGAAGUACCCUACCGAACUUGAUCUCUGGUGUGAGCUAACAUUCAUGCUCCUUGGUAACACUGAAUUCAAUAUUUACAAGAACAUCACCAUUCCCGACGAUGAUCUUGUUAAUCCCAUGGAGAUCAGUGUACUUGAAGCUAAAGUCUGCCGACUACAGAGUGGCUGUACCUGAGAAUUACACUCAUGCAGUGGUGUGGAUUGAGGAUAAUGAAGCAAUUGAGCCAUUGGCUUAUGUGCACCUGGAAGAUUACCACUAUAUAGUGUUGUAGAAGGAGGACGUUUUGAGGUUUGUGUUGUUGCUAUCAAUCACAGCCCCGAAGAGUUGACGUUUGAUUUCUGGAUUCACAUAAAAGAACUAGACGUUUGGUGCAAACUGACAUUCAUACUUGAAAGCUAAUGGCAUACAGAGACAGUACAAAACCAUCACCAUUCCCGACGAUGAUCUUGUUAAUCCAUGGAGAUCAGUGUAUGAGAAACUAAAGUCAAAUGACUACAGAGUGUUAUACCUGAAAAUUACACCCAUGCAAUCAUUUGGGUAGAGGAUAAUGAAGAUUAUGAAACACUCACCUGGAAGAUUAUCACUACAGUGCAGUAGAAGGAAGUUGUUUUGAAGCAUGUGUCGUUGCUGUCAAUCGUCCUGAAAAGUUGACAUUCACUGUGUGGAUUCAUAUUGAAAAAUUGGACAUUUGGUACAGUCUCACAUUCACUGUUGAAGGACAUGCUGAACAGAGACAGUACAAGACGGUCACCAUACCAGAUGACAAGCUAGUGAAUCCAUGGAGAAGUUUGUACUCAAAUCUGCAGACUACAGAGUGAUGGUACCUGACUAUUACUCUCAUUCUGUCGUGUGGGUGCAAGAUGACGAAUAUAUAAGCCAAUGGUUUAUGCUUACUUAGAAGAGGGUCCUUACAGUGUUGUAGAAGGAGCAUCCUUUGAAGUUUGUGCUCGUACUGAGAAUCGUGGUCCUGGAGUUGUUCAAUUCACAGUUUGGCUUCACAUCAAAGGUCUGUACAUUCUCCCCUGAGCGUAGCUAUCUGCCCACGAUUGUAUGUGAAUUAUUCUAUCCAAUCAAACAAAAUCAAAGCACCACAGAUGCUAAAUACCAGUGCAGCAGGCAAUGAAUUAAACGACAUGCAGUACUAGCACUUCCAACUAUUAAAAAGAAAGUACCGCGGAUGCUGAUAUAUAUACCUUGGUGGAGGUGCCAAAGCUACAUAACAUAAAGCUACUAUAGCUAUACCAAGAGUAUCGAACCGUAGGCAUACUGUACAUCAGAUGUAUGCGGAGAGUAACGUGACUUCCUGUAUCUGUCACAAGCUUUGAUAUUGCACACUGACUAAUCCAAGUGUGGGUGAUGUAAUCUAUCAAGAAAGUAGAUUACAUCACCCACACUUGGAUGGGUUGAUAGAUUACAUCACCCACGCUUGGAUUGGUCAGUGUGCAAAUUCCAAGCUUGUGACAGAUACAGGAAGUCACGUUAUUCUCUGCAUACAUCUGAUACACAGUCAUGACGAACAUUUUUUUAUUUUGCUGCAUGCAGGCAGAAUUCAGAAUCACAGGGAAACUCAAAGAGUACCCACGAUCGACUACGAUUGUUGUUAAAACGAUCGAUGCCAGAAGUUCUAGUCCCUCUAAAAUCAGUAAUGGCAUCAGCAGAGCCUUGCAUGCAGCUCUCUUCUCAAUCUUGCAGCUACCAAUAGCUAGCGUUAUAGUUCAGAGCUAAUAAUUAUACUACAGUAGAGUAGCAACACCAGGUAAGCAAGUUUUGCUUACGUGAAAAGGCUGCAAUAGCAUUCCAAGUAAGCAAAACUAGGCAUAACUCGAGAACGAAGCAUUAUUUUGAAAAUCUAUGAAUCAAAAUCCAAGAAAACAUGACUAGAAGCCUAUAUAAACUCUUACUUGCACUUGAUUGAUCCUUGAGCAGCUGUAGCAGUCUACACAGAUACACAAACACACUACCGUGCAUGCACAACGAGGCAUAAUGAAUACUCUGUGCACAUAAUUUUUAAAAAACUAAAUUUGCAUGUAGGAAGUCGUCAACCAUGUAAAAAAGAUGCCAAGUCCGUAAUUAUGGUUUGCAACUUUUAAUUUUCUCACUUAUGCAGCUAGCGUUCUAGUGCAGAGCUAAAACAGCAGACUCUUGCUAUUCCGGCUCUCAAGUACGGCCAUGCACCUCUAUAAUUAUAUUGGCCAUAUAGUUUGGCACUGAUUGCUAGCAGCUAGAUGUUUACUGCACAAAACUCGCCCUGAAAUGCGGCCACUCGCUUUUCCGUAUACUGGCCAGUCUAUGUAAUUUUACAUUAAUUUUAUUACGGCGGGAUAUAACGUUUUGGGUGUGGUUUUGCUCUCUGAAACUAAUUAUUGGAGGACACACUCAACAACUCUUUUACAAAAACAUCACUGUUCCUGAUGAUGAUAACCUGGUGAAUCCAAGACGGGAAGUACGUGUACUUAUAUCUGAAGUCCCCAGAUUACAGAGUGAAUAUCCAAGAAAAUUCAUCCUAUGCUAUCGUCUGGAUCGAGGGUAGAAAUUGUCCAUUGCUAUUUAUUAUGAAUGGAGUUGUUGACACUGGCGAUAUGCAGCCUGGGGCAGUUGCUCUCUAUAGCUGCAAUCCUGGUUAUGUACUCUCCAAUACUGUUGUGUGAAGAUGCUUAGACAAUGGAACAUUGGAUGGUUCUGAUCCUUGUUGUGACUAUAAGUGAAAUUAAUUUGUGUGUUAACUAAACUAAAAAUGUUGCGUAUGCAGUAACAGAAAUAAUUGUGCAAUUUACUGGAGACACCCCCGACGUUGUUGGCAAUCGUGUUGGAAUUGAAUUCACUGCCAACGCUCCACUUGACUCAGCCGAGUGUUCAGUCAGCGGUAUUCCUGGGGUCGCCAUAUUCAGUGGUUUAGCUGGAAUUCGCCCCCGUACAGUCACCAUAUCUGUAAGUAGUGGUGGUUUAAAUGCAGUUGUUGCAAGAAGAGUACGAUCAGAGACAAGUCGCCAAUGCUCAAUUCACCUAAUAAAUGAAGUUGCUGUGUCUGGACAGAACGUUACCAUCGAUAUUGCCAUUAUCGGGCCCACCCCUAGCAACAGGGUGACCAGCAGUACUUGUUCGCUUGACAAUCAACGGAGCUUUACCUGUAUGAAGAACUUACAUUGAUGGCAUUGAGAAGUGUGAUUCCAGAAAGUAUGCCAUUUUCAGUUUCAACGUAAACGUAGAACGUCACUUGACCAUCAUCAUUUGUGGCUAUAUCUGUGAUGAAGACAGCAUCUUCUGUGACUAGUUCCACUUGCCGCCUAUAAUAAUUAAUACAGAAACAAUAAUUAUGCACACCACUAUACAUAAUUAUUUCACAUACUUGGCACGGUCGUUUUUACUGAAUAUGCAAACAUUUGAUUCACAGUACUUGUUGAUUGCUUGA